rnacentral:lncRNA from 1 species
ACCCAGGAGGCAGAGGUUGCAGUGAGCCCAGAUCAAGCCAUUGCAUUCCAGUCUGGGCAACAAGAGCAAAAUCCAUUUCGGGGGGAAAAAAAAAGAAAAAAUUAGCCAGGCAUGGUUGUGGUGCGCCUGUGGUCCCAGCUAGCUACUGGGGAGGCUGAGGAGGGAGGAUUAAUUGAGUACAGGAGGUUGAGGCUGCAGUGAGCCAUGUUGGUGCCACUGCACUCUAGCCUGGGCAACAGAGCAAGACCCUGUCUUUAAAAAAAAUUCUAUGGAUAAAUUGCUCUCUAUUAUUCUCUCACCAAGGAAAAUACCACUUCCAGUUAAAUUAAGACAUGUAAGAGACAUCUCGAUUUUGGAAGUAUUAGAGUGAAAAAAAAAAGUGAGACUAGAAUCAAUGAAAUGAACAUUUACUAACCCCAUCCUAUGGCUAAAGAAACCGAGGCAAAGAGAAGUUGAGCAACUUGCCCAAAGUCACAGGCCUUGUAAGCUCCUACACAAGGAAUGGAAUCCAGGGUGACGAAGGCAUGACAAGGGUGAGACCUUUCACGUGCUUCUGUGACACCAACCUGGUUCUCUGGCAGCCUCACAUCUGCCUUAACCCUGGGGUCACAGUGGACCUCUUCCAGCCUGUUGAAUGCUAAAUUCCACAUGCAGCCCUCCCUUUGUGACUGCGUGAGGGAGUGAAGAAGUGAUCCAGGAAUGACUGGACAUAGAAAUUCUCCACUUAGCAAGUCUUUGAAGAGUGCCCACUGUGUGACUCACACUGAGCUGGGAACUGAAAAUACAGCUGUGAACAACAGAGAUGAGGCUUGCUCUCCCGGGACUGGAGUUUGAGAUCUGUGACCCGGGGCCACGUGCUGGGAUCAGCUCUUUACACGAAGGAGCUCACUGACUCCCCUGGAUCCCCUUGCCAG